CACCUGCUCAACACUGAGCAUGCGCUAAAAUGCUUGUUGAUAUGUUGGUAGCCAGGUCAAUUUUAAUGUGCUUUUGAUUAAUCAUUUUAUAAUAAAUGAAGCCAGAUGAUCCUAGCUCAUGGAACACAAGCCAUCACCUCCAAGAAGACCUAAACCUGAAAGGGAGAGGGCAUUUUAUGAAACACCUGAACAUGUAAAAACCAGUGCCAAAAUAGUCAAUGAGGCUCGGUCCUCUCUGCGCACUGUAAAAACUAACCGUCCGUUUACUCCAAAACCUGAAGAAAGAACUUUAUUUGGAAGCGCAAGUAACAGAGAUCCUCAAAAUAGACCUCCAAGUGCAUUUAGUCUUGGCUCUCACCACUUUGAUGGUAGUGAAUCCAGACCAACAUCAGGAACGAGACCUGUUUCAGGAACAAGACCCGUUUCUGGCACUGCAAGACUUACACCACUCGGCCAUAAACCAAAGACACCCCCAGCUGGUGUUGUCAGUCCUCCAGUACCCAGGCCCCCAGUAGAUCCUAACAGACCAAUCCGCAGAACAGGUUCCAGAGGAAGACUGCUUCAUUCACUAAGCGUAGAGAGCAGUUCAGAAGAAAUAUCCCUGAAAACACGAUCAGGAUCUCUGCAAGAUGUGUCAUCAAGUGGCAAAGAAGAAGUAGCUCCAGAUGUGCUGACCAGGAGAGUCCACAGUGGACCAAAGGAGAGAGUAGGGCAGCUCUUAGAAGAGAGAGGAGUGGGGGAUGGGAGUGAGAGUGUUCACAGACCUCCUAGUGCUGUUACUACUACCUCUAUUAGCAGCCAGAUUGGAAGUGACAAUGAACUCCGUGUCAAAAGUGGUGGAUCUUCUAGAAGGCCUUCAAGUGGUGGUAAACCAGGGAGUGGUGGUAAACGUGAAGAAGAAACUCCAGCAGAAUCUCAAUUUUUCAACAAAAACAUUGCACCAAUCUUAGAGCAAAUGGCUGCUCUGAGAAAAGAAAAAGAUGCCACUGAGUUGAGCAACCUGUGUAGUAUGUUGUACUGUACACUGGAACAAGGCAACAUGUUGGGCAGGGCUUGCAAAAGACGGUCUGCUAUACUGAAAACCAUCUUUAAACUUCUUGAUUCUGAGUCUCCAGUGCUGAGAGUUAGGCUAGCCAAACUCAUAUUGGGGUUGAAAAUCACAGGCAACAAUCUGACAAGCGUUUGCAAACUGAUAUUUAAAAUCAGCAGGGAAGAAAGCAAUGACAUGCUUUUUAUUGAAGAGGAAAUGAUCGCUCCCCUUUUGGAUACCAUGUGCACUACAGAUCUGUCCACUUCACAGGAUGCACUAGUCUAUCUUCUUGGUGCUCUCAAGUUUCUCUCAGGAAAUACCACUGUAGGCCAGCAUCUCACCAGACACAGGGCUGUGGAGGCUUAUGGAAAGCUGUUAAAGGCCAUCAACACAGCUACUGCUGACAGUAAAGAAAAAAUGGGCAAUGUUCUAGUUCAGCUCACAGCAGGACUCAGAAACUUAGUUGAUAAUGAGGAAAACAGAGAGGACAUGGUCUCUAGCCAUGUUAUAGAAGAGAUGGAGAGAUCUACACAGCUGUAUAGUGCUGACAGUGAAGUGGUACACAAUAUUAUCAGAAUUUUUAGCAAAGUGACCCUGCAUUCAGACUGCUGCAACGCAUUGAACAGUAUUCCGUCCACAUACAAGUCUUUCCUAUAUUUGCUCAAUCAGUACAUCCAAAAACAGGAUCUUAUAGUACGCCUGACCUUUGUGAUAGGCAACCUGACGGCCAAGAGUGAUGAUGCUAGGCUACGCUUUUUUCAAGAAGAAAAUGCUUUCAAAACCAUCUUGAAUAUUUUCAAAACUUACUUAGAAUUGGACAUGAAGUCUUUCUCAAAACACAAGGAAGAAGUCAAGGAAAGUGGCACUGGCUCUAAACAUCCAGAUACUGUGGAAGACAUAAUGAUCAAAGUGGUCCGUGUAAUAGCCAAUCUGUCCAUAAAUGAAGAAGUAGGAAAACAACUGGCCACCAAUGAAAAAUGUGUAGAAUGGCUUCUACACAUUAUAGAUACAAAGGACAUGUCAACAAGUGAAGAGCUAGUACUUAAUUCGGUAGCAACAAUCAACAAUCUUUCAUUUUAUCAUGUGCCAGGCAGUGCUGUGGUUAAGAAACAGCAGCAGGUCACAGAAAGUUUUUUGAAACUGCUCAAUGUACAGCAUAUGGAGGGUUUUGUAGAAGCUUCCAGAGUGUAUGGGAACCUCACAAGACACAAGGCUGUCCGGGACUUCCUAGCUGCUAAUAAGGUGCCAGAAAUGAUGGUGGCAUUGCUGGAUUCUGGUAGCCGAGAGGUAGUCUACACUGCAUGUGGUGUCCUUAUCAACCUCAUGGCUGAUGAAAACAAGAGACACAUUCUCAAGGAAGAAGGAGGGAUUUCAAAGCUGAUAGAUGUGUUGCGUGACUUUGGUCGCAGUGACUGGCAGCUGGGCAGUAUGGUGUGUCAGAUCCUGUGGAACUACAGUGCCAGGAUCACCAGCUCUACAGACUGCUAUGGAGAGAAAGAAGCACAGGAGCUGGCAGAUCUCCUAAUUGACUACCUGGAUGAGGAGACUGCCCUGGAUUCCAGUGAUACAGCAGGAGUAGAGGAGGCUAUGCUGGCAUUCCUGAGAGAUGUAUGGGAGGAGGAGUUCUGUCCGGUUGCAAACAAGCUGCUAAAUCGAAUAGAGUCCCACCAGUCAGAUUUUGAACCUCUUCCUGUCCCAAGCUGAUAGAACAUUCCUGUUUUAUUUCCUUUACUAGUAUGUUCCCUCACUGGAAUAUGUGAAGCAUAUUUCUGCAUUAGUAUAGUAUAUUCUUGUAUCAGGAUUCCUUUACUUGAGGGGUAUAUCUUUUACAAAAAUGUCACUGACACUGUAAUUUUACUGUCAUAACUCAAAAUAUGUAAACUCCUUUUUCAUUAAAGGAAUAUAUAUCCUACACAAGGAUGAAAUGUUUCUUAUGGGAAAAGUGAUUUUUUUUUCUGACUGACUUAAGUUUCACCUAACCAUUACAUAUAAUAGCUGGAAUAAUGUUCAUCAGGCUGUUAAAUUUGAGUCAAAGUAAGUUUUUAGUGGUCUAAAUAUUGUCAUUUGCUGAAAAUAAAGGUUUUGUGGUCAUAGUUUGAACUGCUCAUCACAUUGUUGCACUACUGUAAAACAGUAGCAUUUUCAUAGGACAUGCUUGCUUAUUUUUUGUGGUAUCAAAAUAAAUUUUCAUUAGAAUAAUAUUAGAUUGGCACAAAUUAUUCAUAUAUUAAAAAAAAAAUCUGGUACCAAGUUUAAUCAUAGAUAUUUUAGCGGAACUGAUAUGCUAGUCCAAGCUAAGCCUUUUCAUUUGAUAUCUGAAUCUCACUUGUAGUGUUAGUUUGCUCCAUUAAUUCAAGAGUACCACACUUUGUUGCUCACAAUAUAUUGUGUUAAGUAAAUGUUAAUGUGCAAAUGCAGAAUAUUUCACUGAGAUAUGGUUGCUGUUAGCUUUUGAUAGACUGUUCAAAGGCUAUGAAAUGUUUUGAUUAGUACACAUUGUUAUUUAUAAAGUCAUCUUUCCUGUGUUUGUGUAGCAUGAAGCUGAGCCUUUAGAUUUCUAAAGUGCAGGAUUAUUAAAUUUGAAGGCAGUUAGAAGCAGUAUUAUAUACUUGUAUAUAAGUCUAUGCAUUAGUACAAGUACUAGUAACUUCACUAAUGCAUAUUUGGAGAUGUACUGGAUAUGCAAACUUUCCGAGUUCAAUCAAUCAGUAUUUUAAUAUAUGUUGCGAAUAGAUUUAAAUUAUCCUACUAAUUUUGCUGAAGUUAAAAUGAAAUAGUGAUAGGUGAUUUUAUGUAAUUAUGAGGGAAAAAGCAACCUUCCAAUCAGUGAUGACUACAAUAAUAUUAAAGUUUUGAACUCUGAUGUUCAGGACACCAUCUCUUCCAAGUCAACUUCAGGUCAGAUUGUUAAUUAUGUAUAUGGUGUCUGACAUUAAGCUCAACUUUUUGUUUAUUGUCAUCUCUUCAUAUCAUGUUGCUCUUGUGUAUUAAAGAUUGUAGUGUGAAGUGUAAAGGUGUUGCACAGACUUAAGCAAAAAGAAAAAAAGCAGCACGAUCGUGACUGUUUACAGAUUUUAUAGUACAUGUAACAAUGUUAAACAUGUUACACACGGAUUGAAGUUUGUACAAGGGUGUUCCUAAGUUAUAAAUGAAGUCUAAGAAAAUAUUGAAGAAAUAUUUUAAGAAAGCCAAGCUAGUACGAUACCAUAGAAGGUAAAUCCUGCUUACAGUGCUUUGAGUGCAUGUCAA
rnacentral:misc_RNA from 1 species